AUUGAACGCUGGCGGCAGGCCUAACACAUGCAAGUCGAGCGAGCGGCGGACGGGUGAGUAAUGUCUGGGAAACUGCCUGAGGGAGAGGGAUAACUACUGGAAACAGUAGCUAAUACCGCAUACCCUCAGAUGUGCCCAGAUGGGAUUAGCGCGUAGGUGGGGUAACGGCUCACCUAGGCGACGAUCCCUAGCUGGUCUGAGAGGAUGACCAGCCACACUGGAACUGAGACACGGUCCAGACUCCUACGGGAGGCAGCAGUGGGGAAUCUUGCACAAUGGGCGAAAGACUGAGGCAGCCAUGCCGCGUGUGUGAAGAAGGCCUUCGGGUUGUAAAGCACUUUCAGCGGGGAGGCGUUACCCGAAGAAGAAGCACCGGCUAACUCCGUGCCAGCAGCCGCGGUAAUAC
rnacentral:rRNA from 1 species